GGAUUGUGGCUCAGUGAUAGAGCACUGGCCUAGCAUGUGUGAAGCACUGGGUUCAAUCCUCAGCACCA
rnacentral:tRNA from 1 species